ensembl:snRNA U1 U1 spliceosomal RNA
AUAGUACCUAGCAGAGGAGCUACCAUGAUCUCCAACAUGGUUUCUCCAGGGCGAGGCUGGUCCGUUGCACUCCAGAUGCGCUGACCCCUGCGAUUUCCCCAAAUGCAGAAAUUCAACUGCAUAAUUGGUGGCAGUGGAGGACUGCGUUUGCUCACUCUGCUA